rnacentral:rRNA from 1 species
CAGUCGUACUAACGGGAAAUCAACCUAUUUGAGUUUGUGAGGUUUGGAUUCCGAAGAGUGUAAACCUUCGGGUUCGAAUAUUUGCUGCUUUUAGGCGUAAUUUCUCGUUCGGUAGGUUAACAUCGAUUUUGAAGAUUAUAAAAUGACCGGAGGAAUGUGGCUUCGAUCUCGUAUUGAAGUGUUAUAGCCUUUGGUAGAUGUAAUGGUCAAGAUCGAGGAUUGCAACGGAUACCCUUCGGGGCUACCCUGUCUGAUCUCUGAUCGUUGCUCUGGU